rnacentral:lncRNA from 1 species
UGGAGCAACAUUUAGUAGGGACGUUUGGUUCUUUUUGUUUGCUUGCUCGGCUCUGAGCAGCACUCCAAGCUAUCAGGAAUAGGUGACAGCUUUGAAGGGAGGAGUGGAAACCAGUUACCUCCACCAGCAAGCAUUUUGGCACAACAGAAUGGACUGUGGGAAUACAACAAAAACUGUUCAGAGCAGCAGCUGUGGAGCAAGAAACAAGUGGAAAGACAGCUGGGCAUGCUGUCAUGCCGGGAG